CCUACGGGGGGCAGCAGUGAGGAAUAUUGGUCAAUGGGAGAGAUCCUGAACCAGCCAAGCCGCGUGAGGGAAGACGGCCCUAUGGGUUGUAAACUUCUUUUAUAUGGGAAUAAAGUUUUCCACGUGUGGAAUUUUGUAUGUACCAUAUGAAUAAGGAUCGGCUAACUCCGUGCCAGCAGCCGCGGUAAUACGGAGGAUCCGAGCGUUAUCCGGAUUUAUUGGGUUUAAAGGGAGCGUAGGUGGAUUGUUAAGUCAGUUGUGAAAGUUUGCGGCUCAACCGUAAAAUUGCAGUUGAAACUGGCAGU
rnacentral:rRNA from 1 species